rnacentral:rRNA from 1 species
ACGAGUGAGUGCGAACGGGUGAGUAACACGUGGGUAACCUGCCCAGAAGUAGGGGAUAACACCUGGAAACAGAUGCUAAUACCGUAUAACAGAGAAAACCGCAUGGUUUUCUUUUAAAAGAUGGCUCUGCUAUCACUUCUGGAUGGACCCGCGGCGUAUUAGCUAGUUGGUGAGGUAAAGGCUCACCAAGGCAGUGAUACGUAGCCGACCUGAGAGGGUAAUCGGCCACAUUGGGACUGAGACACGGCCCAGACUCCUACGGGAGGCAGCAGUAGGGAAUCUUCCACAAUGGACGAAAGUCUGAUGGAGCAACGCCGCGUGAGUGAAGAAGGGUUUCGGCUCGUAAAGCUCUGUUGUUAAAGAAGAACGUGGGUAAGAGUAACUGUUUACCCAGUGACGGUAUUUAACCAGAAAGCCACGGCUAACUACGUGCCAGCAGCCGCGGUAAUACGUAGGUGGCAAGCGUUAUCCGGAUUUAUUGGGCGUAAAGCGAGCGCAGGCGGUCUUUUAAGUCUAAUGUGAAAGCCUUCGGCUCAACCGAAGAAGUGCAUUGGAAACUGGGAGACUUGAGUGCAGAAGAGGACAGUGGAACUCCAUGUGUAGCGGUGAAAUGCGUAGAUAUAUGGAAGAACACCAGUGGCGAAGGCGGCUGUCUGGUCUGCAACUGACGCUGAGGCUCGAAAGCAUGGGUAGCGAACAGGAUUAGAUACCCUGGUAGUCCAUGCCGUAAACGAUGAUUACUAAGUGUUGGAGGGUUUCCGCCCUUCAGUGCUGCAGCUAACGCAUUAAGUAAUCCGCCUGGGGAGUACGACCGCAAGGUUGAAACUCAAAAGAAUUGACGGGGGCCCGCACAAGCGGUGGAGCAUGUGGUUUAAUUCGAAGCUACGCGAAGAACCUUACCAGGUCUUGACAUCUUCUGACAGUCUAAGAGAUUAGAGGUUCCCUUCGGGGACAGAAUGACAGGUGGUGCAUGGUGUCGUCAGCU